UACGUAGGCAGCGAGCGUUGUUCGGAGUUACUGGGCGUAAAGCGUGCGUAGGCGGUUGUCUAAGUUUGGUGUGAAAUCUCCCGCUUAACUGGGAGGGUGCGCCGAAAACUGGGUGACUGGGUGUCAGAGAGGUAAGCGGAAUUCCUGGUGUAGCGGUGAAAUGCGUAGAGAUCAGGAGGAACACCUGUGGUGUAGACAGCUUACUGGACGAUAACUGACGCUGAGGCACGAAAGCGUGGGUAGCAAACAGG
rnacentral:rRNA from 1 species